UACUAGAGUAGCACUCGCAUAUCAAUAAGCGGAGGAAAAGAAACUAACAAGGAUUCCCCUAGUAACGGCGAGUGAAGCGGGAAGAGCUCAAAUUUGAAAUCUUAAAGGGUUUCCCUUUACGAAUUGUAGUUUAAAGAAGUGUUUUCUGUUGAGGUUUUGGUAAAAGUUCUUUGGAAUAGGACAUCAUAGAGGGUGAGAAUCCCGUAUUUGACCUUUACUUUCAACUUUGUGAUACACUUUCAAAGAGUCGGAUUGUUUGGGAAUGCAGUCCAAAAUGGGUGGUAAAUUUCAUCUAAAGCUAAAUAUUGGCGAGAGACCGAUAGCGAACAAGUACCGUGAGGGAAAGAUGAAAAGAACUUUGAAAAGAGAGUUAAACAGUACGUGGAAUUGUCAAAAGGGAAGCGUUUGACACCAGUGUUGUUUUUCUGAAAAUCAAUUAAAGAACUGUUUAUGCUAAGCUGUUUAGACUUUAUCAGCUAUCUGUUUAGUUUUGAGCUUUUCUUCAAUGCACUUUUCAGUUAACAAGUCAACAUCAAUUUCUUUUGCUGUAAAAAAGCUUGAGGAAGGUGGCUUGAGAUUCGUCUUAAGUGUUUAUAGCCUCUUGCCUAUGCAGUCGGAGAGAUUGAGGUCUGCAGCGUAGAUCCUUCGGGGCUAAAUGCAUUUGUGCUAAGUUAUAGCAUUUUAUAGACAACUUGUUGACUAUGAUUUGUCUUGUAGCUUACUCGCUUAUGUUAUUUUACCUACGCUUAGGAUGUUGAUCUACAGAGCGAGAGU
rnacentral:rRNA from 1 species